GCCAGGCAUGGUGGCGCACACCUGUAAUCCCAGCAGCUCAGGAGGCUGAGGCAGGAGGAUCACGAGUUCAAAGCCAGCCUCAGCAAAAGUGAGGCACUAAGCAACUCAGUGAGACCCUGUCUCUA
rnacentral:sRNA from 1 species